rnacentral:rRNA from 1 species
GACAGAGGGUGCAAACGUUGUUCGGAAUUACUGGGCGUAAAGCGCGUGUAGGCGGCCCGGCAAGUCGGGUGUGAAAGCCCAUGGCUCAACCAUGGAAGUGCAUUCGAAACUGCCGAGCUAGAGUCCUGGAGAGGAAGGUGGAAUGCUUGGUGUAGAGGUGAAAUUCGUAGAUAUCAAGCGGAACACCCGUGGCGAAGGCGGCCUUCUGGACAGUGACUGACGCUGAGACGCGAAAGCGUGGGGAGCAAACAGG